UCUUGAACUGCUGACCUUGUGAUCUGCCCACCUUGGCCUCCCCAAGUGCUGAGAUUACAGGCGUGAGCCUGCACCUGGCUAUCUUCAGGAUGAUGAAGCUGAAACUCAGAGAAUUUGAAGCAGUUGCCUGAGAUUCCGCAGCCAGCCAGUGGCUCAGAGUGGAUUCCCGCCCCCGACUCUGGAUCCUAACGCUUUUCUCACCACCUCAUGGCACCUCCCUGGCAUUUGAACUUCCUGGUUGAAACUGAGGAUAAAGAGAGCAGGCGCGGCUCAUCAAGAUCCCCUUGUCAUUGGGUUGUGCUGCUCCGUCAUUCUCCUCACCAGCACCGCUAAUUGCACUCCAUUCCAAUGGCUCAUGGCCCUUCACACACACAAAGGCCCUGCUCCCCUGCCAGGGAAGACGGAGUAGGUUGCACAACUUGUCUGCAUUCACAGAGCAUGUCACCAACCAAGGAAGAAGGAGAACACACAAGUUUGGCCCUGGAAAACCCUCGGCUGACUCUGUUGAGAGGAAAGUGGCCCUCCAUGCUAACUGGAGACAGUGCAGAUAGAGGAACUGAGCUGUGAAAAUGGCUCUAAAAAGCCAACAGCAUCUAUUAAUUAGACUUGACUGGGGUGGUCAGGGCUGCGGUUUGGAAUUGUCAGCUAUUUAUGCACAGGGGACUUUAGGUCACUCUGUGCUCUUACCCCAUUUCCAAAACACACAUAACCAACGAAUGUUUCUCAGUCUGGGUGGUCUCCCACAUGGGUCCUGCCCGGUCUGUUUUUCCAGUGGGACAAAACAUAGGCUCCUCCCUGGAAGAUUCCUGGAAGACCCCUCCCCCCGCCUUCACCUUUCAGUUCUGUAAGCUUCCUCAUCAGUGCUGUGUUUCUUUCCAGAGCUCUGACUCAAAUAACCCUCUGGUGUGACCUCAUCACAUUAUCACAACAGCCCUGUGAGGUUGGAAGAGGUAGGAGUAUUUCCUGAUAGAUUAAAGAUGGUCAUUCUCAGGC